AGAGUUUGAUCCUGGCUCAGGAUGAACGCUGGCGGCGUGCCUAAUACAUGCAAGUCGAGCGAACAGAUAAGGAGCUUGCUCCUUUGACGUUAGCGGCGGACGGGUGAGUAACACGUGGGUAACCUACCUAUAAGACUGGGAUAACUUCGGGAAACCGGAGCUAAUACCGGAUAACAUUUGGAACCGCAUGGUUCUAAAGUGAAAGAUGGUUUUGCUAUCACUUAUAGAUGGACCCGCGCCGUAUUAGCUAGUUGGUAAGGUAACGGCUUACCAAGGCAACGAUACGUAGCCGACCUGAGAGGGUGAUCGGCCACACUGGAACUGAGACACGGUCCAGACUCCUACGGGAGGCAGCAGUAGGGAAUCUUCCGCAAUGGGCGAAAGCCUGACGGAGCAACGCCGCGUGAGUGAUGAAGGGUUUCGGCUCGUAAAACUCUGUUAUUAGGGAAGAAUAAAUGUGUAAGUAACUGUGCACAUCUUGACGGUACCUAAUCAGAAAGCCACGGCUAACUACGUG
rnacentral:rRNA from 1 species